rnacentral:lncRNA from 1 species
CAUGUACCACCUCAAGGCAGCUCCAGUUAAACUGUCUUGGAAAUAAUGAAUCAACAGCUGAUCAUUAUCAUUUUGAGUAGAAAUUUUCCUGGCAUACAUAAUAAGAUGGCUUAACGGGAAAGUAUUCCCUUUGUAUUUUUCAAAGUCCGGGACCUUGAAUUUCACCGGAAUCUUGACAUUAAGGACUAAGCAGAGUUCAGCAACACUCUUCCCAAACAAAUCUUUCCUCUCAGAGCCUUCAACUCUUUCCGCAACUCAAGGAAAUGAUCUUUCAUUUCAUCCA